GGCUCGGUAGCUCAGUUGGUAGAGCAAAGGACUGAAAAUCCUUGUGUCGGCGGUUCGAUUCCGUCCCGAAUCC
rnacentral:tRNA from 1 species